UACGGAGGGUGCAAGCGUUGUUCGGAUUUACUGGGCGUAAAGCGUAUGUAGGCGGUUGGUUAAGUUUAGUGUUAAAUCUUAGGGCUCAACCUUAAACAUGCACUGAAUACUGGCUGACUAGAGGGCAAUAGAGGAAGGUGGAAUUCCCAAUGUAGCGGUGAAAUGCGUAGAUAUUGGGAGGAACAUCAGUAGCGAAGGCGACCUUCUGGGUUGUCCCUGACGCUGAGGUACGAAAGCGUGGGGAGCAAACGGG
rnacentral:rRNA from 1 species